CUUUAGCUCAUCUUGAACACGUUUUUGAAUGUAAUUUUCCAUAUCCAUAUAGCGGCUUGUGUCAGUCUCCGUGGAUUCUUGUAGGUGCCGGACAAACUUCUCUGAAAACUCAGUAGGAGCACGCAAAACAAAUUCUGGUUGGGAUUGUUGAUUGCCCAUUUUGAAACUGACAGCUACUUUUUAGUUUUUUCAAAUGAACGGGGUAAGCAAAGGAAUGGAUUUUUACACAGUACAGUCGUACACGGUGAAAAGAGCUACACCAUAAUUUGGGGAACAUUGCUACCUAAUUGUAUUGAAACAAAAAGCAAGCGAACAGUUGAGUGUGGGCUGCUGAAAUUUAGAAGUUUAUAUCGAAUUUUGCUUUUUAUUCACAAACCGGGAAGCAUAUUCUCUUUAUCACAGCUAGUGUAUUUAUCUCACUACCACGUUCAUUAAUUAAGUUGUAUUAUUACACAAUCGGCAGCGAAAGGGCAGAUAGUUC